GAAAGGCUGGCAGUUUCCACCUGGACCUGAGUGGUGCCCAGUGCGUUCCUUGCACAACCGCCUCUGGGGUCACAGUCAGAAUUCCAGUGUUUGGAUGACAGAGGAUGGAGGGCAAGCCUGGUCAGGUGCCCCUGGCUGUGUGCUGGGCUCUUCAGGGACGCGCCAGGUUGUCCUCAGAGGGAGCCUCAGCCACCUUGGUCCAGGUGGUCAAGCCAGGUGUACACAGAGGCACGGGCACCUUGCCCUCCCAGUGGGGUAGCUGCGCCUCUGAGGAAAGCGUUGGUGGGGACUCACAGUCCUCCAGGAGCAAGGGACCUGUCCCUGACGGCUCUACAAGGCCAGGGCUCGCAUAGCCGGGUGUCUAUGUUGCAGGCACCCAGGUGUCUACACUGCGAGCACCCAAGUGUCUACACUGAGCAUCCGGGGUGUCUGAUGCAGGCACCCAGGUGUCAGGCAUCUAUGCCAUGGGCACCCAGGUGUCUACACUGCAGGCACCUGCAGGCAUCUGCAGGCAUCCAAACGCCUCCUGACUGUGGGCCCAUCACACCACAGCCAGGGGGUUCCCCGGACUCCCAGGGGUCCAUGCACGGCUUGUGUCUUUGGCCCCUGCCACUGUCAGAUGGGCUCAGUGGCCACAGACACAGAGUUGAAACCUGCAGCUUCCUGUCAUUGACCAGAGGCUCUGGGGUCCCUCCUCACUCCUCAGGGGAAAGCCCCUGGUUCUUGAUGAACAUUCAGACCAGGCUCUUUGUUCUGCUAUGUGUGAAGGUGACCAUUGGCCCCCCUGCCUGUCCUUGCCCCUGCGGGUGGCUCGGCAGAGCGCUAGGGUCCGGGUCCUGAGUGCUCGGUGGUUGGCACCGACUCUCUGGGGAAGCAAGAACCAACUGGGCACCCUGGGAGCUUGCACCACCCCUCCCACCCCGUCUUCACUCCCCUGUUCGUUCAGAGAACGUGGGAGGACGGCUGUGGCUGUUUGGUGGCUGAGGGACGUGAUGCCAUCCAAUGACCUCUUCACGCACACGUGUUCCUACCACAAUGAGGAGCAUCACCUGCAGCCCACAGGUGUAUGACGGCCGGGGCCCCAGAGUUGCAGUGUGGCCACAGCCAGCACGUCCCCAGGCCCCUGCUGAGGUCACAGCUGGCCUCACUCCCCACAUCUCUGAGGUCGAGGGGCUCCUGGGCCUUCCCCACUGCUGGGCCUGUGGUUCUGGAGCUGCCACAGCCAACCAGCCCCCUGGCUGCCACCCGACUGGGGCCUGGGGGGCAACCUCCCUUGCCAGUGCUGCUUCAUGGGCUGCGGGUCAGCUCCUGACCUCCAAGAGAGGCCUGGGCUCCGAGGUCGGCAGGAGUGGAUUCCGAGCCAUCCCAUUCACCAUGUGGGAGGUCUGCUGCCCUGAGUCGCUCUUGGCACUUGGCCUGGUGGCCUCACCCACAUGACCUGGAAGGCAGCCUUGCGGUGCGUGGAAACCCCACUGGCUGCAUCCCACACAGAAGGAAGAAUUGAAGUGAGUAGAGGGAUAGGGCCUCUGAGACCACAGUGAUGGAUCUGAGGGCGAUUGGAUCUUAAACACAAUGCAUAUUCCUGUCUAACCGAGGGGUCCUGUAGCAUGACCGCAUUUCUCAUCUCUAAUCAUGGCUGCUUCCUGUCAGUAUCUCUUAUUUCUUUCCCAUUUUGAGUGACACAGUGUGAUAUGUCUAAUGACAACUAGAACAAAUUCUGGUAAUGAGGUCACCUUGGGCCCGUAUUACUGUCUGACUGCUGUUUUCCAUAGAAAUUAUCUGUGAAAGCACACCACGUGCUCGGAAUAACUUUCUCUGCACGAGUGUGGGUGUCAACAGGCAGAUGUGUUAGAACUUGCAGGAGACAAGUGGCUGGUGCUGGCCUCUCCGGUACAGACCCAUAAAAAGACAGCUUUUGCCUCAUUGAUGGGGAAGUGAUGGAUUGUGGUUAUUUAGUUUCCUUUAGGUGCAAGAUUUUUAUGCAGAUUGUGCAUAAAUGUGUGGUUUUAAAGUAAAGGGGGCUCAGAAUGCAUUAUUUUUAUACUGAGGUUCAGAAAUGCAGAAAGGAUUAUUGUAGUAGGUUCUUGGUGAGGCUCCUGGAGCAAAGGGAUGAUGUGGGCACCUGGGUGGACUGGCAGGACGUGGCAAAGGGAAGGGAAAUGUAGGCAUCGCAGUGAGGAGCUGGGCUCAGGAGGGGCCACAGACCAGGAAUGGGGUCAGAGGUGCCAGGGGCAGGGGACAUGAGGCUGUGUCUCGGCAGAGAGGUCCAGGGGUCUGAGCAGGGCAAUGUGGGGCGUGAGGCCAGCCCUGUGUACCUGGUACACCCUGGCACCUGCCUUAUCGAGGAAGAAGGUGGGGCCUGUGUGUGGAGACGUGCCGGCAGGAAAACCAAGUUCAUGGAGAAGUAGCCAGAGGACCUGGUGCUGUUGCUGAUGAGGAUGGUCAAGUGCUCUGGAACUGGCAGGAGGUCAGACACCCGUAGGGAUAUGAAAAGGAGCACCAUCACAGUGCCGGGUCCCCUGGGCACUUUGGGGGCCGUGUGCUCUGCAACCCGAGUCCAAGCCGCCAGAUUCCCAGCUGGGGCCCAGGUCCAGAUGGAGCUGAGGGCAUGGAGGGUGGCCUUGGAUAAGGAGUCCUCAGAGGCAGUGCCUCAGAGGCGGUACCAGAAAACCCAUCUGUGUGGCAGAGCGUCUACACUGUUUGCACCGGGGCCUAGCCUGCACCUUUUGAGUUAAUGAACUUCAUUAUAUCCAGUCUCCGUCCCUGACCAAUGGUCAGUACCGUAACCCGGUUGUGUUUUGUCCUGAGGCACACACACACACGUGGGUACGUGCAUGAGCUCCCACACGCAUGUGCACACACGCGAACACCCUCCACACCCAUGCAGGCUGGCUGCUCCAAGCCCUCAGUCCGGGGCUGCAGGCCACCCAGGGGCUGUACGGCCGUGUGUGGCUGGAGGUAACUGAACGGGAGAGCGGGCACAGCCUUUAGAAUAGUAGUUGCAAACUUUUGCUGCAUCAGAAACUUCUGGAGGUUUUGUUGAAGUAGUGACUGUGACUCCUUCCUCUGCUGGCCAGGGCUCAAUGGGUCUGGGGUGGGGCCUCCUUAUUUGCAUUUCUGACAGCUCCCAGGUGACACCUGGUCUAUGGGCGACCUGCAGAGAACCACUGCUUCACAAAACCCUAAAUUGCUUCCUUUGAUGAAGGAGCUAUAAUUAUAUUAACUUGAGGUCUUCAAAUCAUAACUUGUGCUGUUCUGAAAGUGCUGUGAAUUAAUUAACUUGGAAAUGGAUCACUCGUGACAACCAAAUGCAAUUUUAGAGCAAGUCUUGCCUUAUGUGGUAGAUACAGGUCCUGAUAAGCUAGGAGUCAAUAGAAUUUUAUUGCAGUGAAUUAUUAAAUUAUUUGAUAUUCUGAAUUUAUUUUUAAUGUGGGUGAACUACAUUUAAAAAAACCAAAGAAAUGGAACAGCUCCUUGUAAGUAAAGUAAAAGGGAAAGAUUACUUUUAAAACAGUAAAGAAAUUAUUGUUUUUUAAAAAUCUCCUAGUGUAUCUAUGACCAGAGUCAGAUUUUUUGUACAUUUUUAAAUUUAUGGUUUUGGGGCACCUGUGUGGCUCAGUUGGUUAGGUGUCCAACUUGUGAUUUCAGCUCGGGUCAUGAUCCUCAGAGCUGUGAGAUCAAGCCCUGUGUUGGGCUCUGUGCUGGGCAUGGAGCCUGCUUAAAAAUUAAAUAGAUGACAGAUAGAGAGGUAGAUAAAUAAAAUAAUUUAAAAAGGGGCACCUGGUGGUUCAGUCAGUUGAGCAUCUGAGGUUUGAGCCCCACACAGGGCUCCAUGCCAAGCAUGGAGCCUAUUUAAAAAAUAAAAUAAAAUUUGUAAGCUGGUUUCUUUGGCAUGAGUUUCAUCUGCACUAGAACAGAGCUCUUGACACCAUUGGAAGGUUUCCCCAUCCUCCAUCAGCACACAUUACUGCCUCACGGGGUCUCCCUGGAUGCUACUGCCUGCCAGGUCCUCUUAUGAAUCUGUGUGAAGACCAAGAGAUAUAGAGGUUCUUUUUAAAUUUUGAGGUCACCCUUGGGGUAAGAGCCCAUUUAUCCCCUAGACUUUGGUGUGGGGAAAUCCUUCUUGCAUAUGACUGAUCUAAACUUGUGGUGUCUAAGGGCAACACUACAGAAAGGUAUGGUCGGUGGUAGCUCUGUGCAUCCCUGGUGUAAGUGUAGGGGCUUUGAGCUGCCCCAACCCUAGUGCUUUGACCUCAACACCUCUUUCUGCCUCUUAGGCUGGCUUCAUGGGGGGAACGUUUUUCUUGUCUCCAUUAUUCAUAUAAAUAUAGCACUGACAUUUCAUGCAAUUCAGGUCUCCUUGUAGAAGAAAACUCUCAUCCCUCUGCUUUGACCAAAACACGAGAGGGCCUGGUGUAAGGGAGGGAGAUGGGCUCUGUGGGAAGGUGGAUGUUGGCUGGCUGUACCCUGGCGUCCCCAUCAGUGCAGAGGAGACUGUUACCUGUCCCCAGAGGCACCAUACCAGUGCCCUCACGUGGUACGUAACACCUGCUCAGUCCUACAAGUCUUGCUUUCCCCUCCUCAAAGAGCCAGGAUUAUGUAGUUUGGUUUUUGAGAAAAUUUGACAGAUUCUAAGAUAUUUGAAGAAUAUUUUCCCCAGAAGUUGGCAUAAAAAGAGCAAAUCAUUUAAGAGUUUUCCUACCCAGAGGCAGAGAUCCUGGAUGAGUCUCAAUGUCCAGCCUCAUCCAUUGGUUUAAGAGUCACAACUAAAAAAAAAAAAAAAAA
rnacentral:lncRNA from 1 species